rnacentral:lncRNA from 1 species
UAAUGACAUCUUUCUCUGGUAACGCUCCUGUUCUCCACUUGAUUUUGCUUUUGUGAUUGAGAAGAGCAGCAGUGAUUUUCAGAUGUGGACUGGUGUAAUUUGGAUCUAAGAGGCUACCAUGGCUCUCAAAAAUGGCAGUACCAGGUGGGACCAAAGAUCAGUCUUGCUCAAAGCUGUCUCUAUCACUGAUGAUAAGCAGGACCUCUAGGACGAGUAGGCACUCAGUCCAAGUAAUCUUAACAUUAUCUCCCCCCACCCUGCCUUGUGAAGAGAGGACUACAGAUCUGUCCUUACCCACUCUACAUCCCUCUGGUGGUUUUGUAGUCUUGGACUUGGAGCGUCUCCAGUCAUCUCUCUUCCAAGAUCUAGCAAGCUCAGACUCUGUGCUUGCUUAUCAUGUGGUCGCCUUUCCACUCUGCUCCUCACCUGCCCUGCACCUCUCUGAACAAUUCCAAUUUAAAUUGUGUUCCACUGUUCUCCAAAAUGAAGGCACAUAAUUUGAAAGGUAUGUGUGAAUCAUGGCUUGGCACAACUGCAGCAAAAAUUAUUUUGCUUUGUUCUCUUGUCAGGAACGAUCAAAUAAAUAAAACAUUUUCACUUUCAUUCUAUAGAACCAUCUGUCACAGUGUUAAGGUCUUGCUCCAGAGUGGUAACUCUUAGCUGGGAAACCAUUGCUGUCUAUGCAGAGCUAGGAUUGUUUUUCCCUUCAUGCAUCAAUGUUAUGUUUAUAUGCAAUGAAUUUCAGCUGUUUUUUUUUUAUUGCCUAGCUGUUUGGUCUCGUCAGGCCCUUCUGCAGUUCUUCAGUCUGCUCACGUUCUUACUCUUCUGCAUAACUCAGUGUCAAUGGCAGUCUUUAACUCAUGCCUUAUCCAUUUUUCUAAUAAUGCCUGAAUGUACUAAAUAGCUCAUUUCUCAGCACGGGUGCCAGUAUAGAUGAACUGGUGACCUCCCUUUGUUGUGCACACUGACCGCUCAACCUGUUUCUUAUUUUCAGCUUAUUUACUCAUGCAAGCAUUCCUUAUCCUACAGUCAAUUUUCUUUGUCACUCUUAGCAAAAGACUAGAAAUCUUGGCCUGUAUGUUCCAUGGAUGUGAGCGUUACCUCCAGCAUCUCAAUUUGCUGCGUGUGCCACCGGUAUUUGGGCAGAUCACCGCAUCCACUUUUCCCAUGUUUCAUCAGCCCCUGUCCAGGUUUCCGCUGAAAUCCACCUUCACCACCUCUCAGCUUGUGAUGCAGGCUCACCCAUGGCCCCUCCAAGGUCACGUACCCCAUUGUUUAUUUGCUUGAUGAUUGAAUCUUCCAUUGCUCCAACCUGUUUCUUCCUAUCUGGUCUUUGAUCUUCCCCUCACUUCAACUUCCUCUGAAGAAAUCUGUCCUUGGACAUAAGAAUGUAGCUUCCAGGAAUUUUCUGCGUGGUGAAGCUUUGUUUAGAAGUGGGAAAGGAAGGCCUCUUCUGUCACUUCCUCCUGAGACCCUCCCCAACUGCAGGUGCUGCCUGUGAGCACGCACAGACUGAGGCAAUGGCGAAGUCUAAUGGCAGCAAAGAGAAGAUAGUUAACACAUGGGAAGUGCCUGUGAUGUGGCUUUCUGGAAUGAGAGAUUGCGAUCAUGGGAUGAGGAGAGGAGGGAUGAAGAGUAAGGGGAGCAGAGGGAAGGAGGUCCCUCCACAGAGACGAAAGUGGCAGACACAGGAAGAAGCUUUGUUUCCUCCCAGCAGCGCUGGGAAGAGCUGGAGAGAGUUUGAUUUCAAAGUCCAACAAUGAAGCGAUGGCAUUUGUUUCCAAUUCAGCAGGAAUGAGUGUAUGGUUUGAACAAUUCUUUCGAGGUUCCUGGCAGGGGGAAUAUAACUCAUCUCAGCUGGCUGUUUUUGGAGAUCAAAUGACACAAAAAAAAUCGCUCAAAGCUUAGGGUAUCCUUCUGGCAGCCGGAGACCAUGCGCAUCUUCAUAGAUUUGCUAUUUGCUCUAAUGUGGACCAAGAGCUGCGUGCUGUGUAGAAAACUGCUUGCUUACAAAACAAUCUUAUUACUGCCAGAUGUUGGCUCCUUGCCUGCUUUUACAUAAUUCAGGCUUUUCUUUGCUCAAGAUGUUACAAUUUAAAGGUGCUUUAGAAGUUUUAUUUUAAAAGCCUUGAUAAUGCUUUUAUCCUUAUUCUUUUUUCCCCUCUUGCUCAGAGUGGCUCUUCCAUCACCACAUGCUGCAAUCUGGUGUAUGUGGAAUAUGUUAAUGUGUGUAACCAAGAACAGCAAAACUUUCUUAGCUCUACCCCUGAGCUGAUUAAGACAAGCAUAAAAAUAUCCCUAAGGCUGUGCCGUCUGCAUCCUGCUGACUCAUAUGCCAAGUAUAAUGCACACCUUUCUUUUAAAUGCUGUCCUGGAUAGUGUGUGUGUAUUUAUAUGUUUAUCUAUAUGUUUUUAAUUACAUAUUCAGGUGAGGGAUUACUGUAAGUGUCCAAGGACUGAUAAUAGAGGCUUAAGCCAGGCAAGUGAUGUGCUGUAGAAGAUUUCUCCACACUGCUAGCGGAGCUUUACUCUUGUAGACUUCAUCCUUCAUCCAUGGACAAGUAACUACCAAAAAAACAUCAUCAUAAUCCUGUGGCAUGUUCUUCACUGAAUUUUCAAUGAUUAAACAAACUAGCGAUGAGUAAUAAUUACAAGACUUUUUUUUGUAUUCUUUAUGUCCUUCUAAGAUGGCUACUGCAGCUUGGCCAUCAAAGCUAUGUGGCUGUAGGGUAGGCUAAUUCUCGAGGAUAACUUCAGGUGCCUUGACACCAUUGCUUGUGCCUCC